GACGGAGGGGGCAAGCGUUGUCCGGAAUCACUGGGCGUAAAGGGCGCGUAGGUGGCUUCGUGCGUCGGUGCUGAAAGCGCCGGGCUUAACCCGGCGAGGCGUGCCGAUACGACGAGGCUUGAGGCAGGGAGAGGGUAGCGGAAUUCCGGGUGGUAGUGGUGAAACGCGUAGAGAUCCGGAGGAACGCCAGAGACGAAGGUGGCUACCUGGCCCUGACCUGACACUGAGGCGCGAAAGCGUGGGGAGCGAACCGG
rnacentral:rRNA from 1 species